GCCUAAUGGAUAAGGCAUCGGUCUCCUAAACCGGGGAUCGCGGGUUCGAGUCCCGC
rnacentral:tRNA from 1 species